GACGAACGCUGGCGGCGUGCCUAAUACAUGCAAGUCGAGCGAAUCGACGGGAGCUUGCUCCCUGAGAUUAGCGGCGGACGGGUGAGUAACACGUGGGCAACCUGCCUAUAAGACUGGGAUAACUUCGGGAAACCGGAGCUAAUACCGGAUACGUUCUUUUCUCGCAUGAGAGAAGAUGGAAAGACGGUUUACGCUGUCACUUAUAGAUGGGCCCGCGGCGCAUUAGCUAGUUGGUGAGGUAAUGGCUCACCAAGGCGACGAUGCGUAGCCGACCUGAGAGGGUGAUCGGCCACACUGGGACUGAGACACGGCCCAGACUCCUACGGGAGGCAGCAGUAGGGAAUCUUCCGCAAUGGACGAAAGUCUGACGGAGCAACGCCGCGUGAACGAAGAAGGCCUUCGGGUCGUAAAGUUCUGUUGUUAGGGAAGAACAAGUACCAGAGUAACUGCUGGUACCUUGACGGUACCUAACCAGAAAGCCACGGCUAACUACGUGCCAGCCGCCGCAGUAAUAC
rnacentral:rRNA from 1 species